AAAGCCCCAGUGUGUUCUUCACAUUACUGGGAACACCCUCCCCUAUCUCCACCUAGAAAACUCCUACACAUCCUUCAAGACCUCACUCACUGGGCGCCCCUUCAGCGCAGCUUGUCUGACUCCCACAGGCCUUUGUAACACCCUGUACCACACAGCACCGUAGAGUCCCAUGGCAGAGAUGUCCACGGCCUCAGUGUCAGACAAGCCCGGGUUCAGGUCCCAGCUCUGCCCCUCACAAGCUGUGUGACCCUGGGCAAGUCAUUAACCUCUCUGGGCCUUAGGCACCCACCUAAUACCACUGUAGGCCAUCCUCACCGCUGCCCAGCAGGGCUAUCACUCCUGUGGACACAGCCCAGCCCAUCAGCCCACAGUAGCCCCGGGAACGCUUCCACAUUGCACAGCCUUCUGGAAGGAAUCUUUGGCAAAUGUCAACUCUUGUUCUGCUUUCAUGGCAAGCACGCCUUGGUCACAUGCGGGGCUGUAGCCUGUGAGUGCAGGAAGCUGUUCCUGUGUGGCCAUCGACUCCUGCCACGGAGAGCACUCGCCUGCCCUGAUGCGGGAGUCACGUGUCCUCCUAGGCACUCUGCAGGUCGCCUUGCCCCUCAUUGCCAGUCCCGUAGACCCCGAGGCCCAGGCCCACCAGUGCUCCCCUCACUCAGUGUCAACUCUUGGCCCCUCGCACUAGGCCUUCCAAUAAGCCAAAACUGUGGCGCCUUCGCCAGGCCUGGGCUGGGUGCUGGGGGCUCAGAACUGAGUCAGGUGCGGGCCCUGCCCUCGAGGGCUCCAAGCUGGUGGGGGAGCCACACCAGGACCCCAAAACAAGAGCAGCAGACCCACGCUGUGUCAGUGGUGAGUGUCUAGCAGUCUUGGGGCCCUGGCCGGGGUGGAGAUUGGGGAAAAAGUGAUCGGGAGCAGCCACAGAGCUGGGCCCUGGACAAGGUUUGUUGGGACGACAGGUCACUCUGGGCAGAUGGAACAGCCUCAGCCAAGGCCAUUCAGAGGAUCACAAGGAGCAUGGCUGUCGCGGCACAAGAUGCUCCCGGCAGGGGUGAGUAUGGAGAGGCAGCAGCCACAAGGCCUUCAUCUGCCAGAAGGUGUCUGGACCUGAUCCCGAGGCUGUGGGGAGUUGACAUAGAAGAUCAUUCCUAAUUCUCAAACCGGCA
rnacentral:lncRNA from 10 species